UAAUGUGUAUAUUUUAGUGUAAGAAGCAUAAAAAUUUUUGAUAUUUUAGGGGAUAGUUUAAUUCUAUCAAAUAUAA
rnacentral:tRNA from 1 species